rnacentral:rRNA from 1 species
UACGUAGGGGGCAAGCGUUGUCCGGAAUCAUUGGGCGUAAAGAGCGUGUAGGCGGCCAGAUAAGUCCGCUGUGAAAACUCGAGGCUCAACUUCGAGCUGUCGGUGGAAACUAUUUGGCUAGAGUCCGGAAGAGGAGAGUGGAAUUCCUGGUGUAGCGGUGAAAUGCGCAGAUAUCAGGAAGAACACCCGUGGCGAAGGCGGCUCUCUGGUACGGAACUGACGCUGAGGUGCGAAAGCGUGGGUAGCGAACGGG